UCUCAUUUUUUUUCAAGUUCAAUCAAAUAUUGUCCAAACACCUCGUGAUGUCAGUAUAGAAAUGCUAAAUUCUACAAGGAAGAAACAGUUGCUAUCUCUGUUACCAAGUCAAAUAAAAAGAAUGUGUAAUUAAAUAUCUUACAGUAGGCAUGUAAAUUCCAAGAGUGAAUUAAGAAGCUUUGGAGCCAAACAAGCCCCCUCCUACAUUGAACAAUUUAUGAUGAAAAACAUAAAAAGAGAAUUUGGGGUAUGUAACAAUGCUAAAAGUUCCACGCACAUAUUGGUGGUGAGUGUACUAGGAACAGGGAUAAAGGAGCAGUACACUUAUUUUUAACAAAAAGUAUAUAUAUAUAUAUAUAUAUAUAUAUAUAUAUAUAUAUAUAUAUAUAUAUAUAUAUAUAUAUAUAUAUAUAUAUAUAUAUAUAUAUAUAUAUAUAUAUAUAUAUAUAUAUAUAUAUAUAUAUAUAUAUAUAUAUAUACAGCAGCUUGUUUGCUCUUCCUCAGAUAAAUUUGUAUCACAUCACACAAGCAGAAACCUUC
rnacentral:lncRNA from 1 species